UACGUAGGGUGCGAGCGUUGAUCGGAAUUACUGGGCGUAAAGUGUGCGCAGGCGGCGCUGCAAGUCGAGUGUGAAAUCCCCGAGCUUAACUUGGGAAUUGCGCUCGAAACUACGGCGCUGGAGUAUGGCAGAGGAAGGUGGAAUUCCACGUGUAGCGGUGAAAUGCGUAGAGAUGUGGAGGAACACCGAUGGCGAAGGCAGCCUUCUGGGCCAAUACUGACGCUCAUGCACGAAAGCUAGGGGAGCGAACAGG
rnacentral:rRNA from 1 species